GGGUGCGAUCAUACCAGCGUUAAUGCAGUUGAUCCCCUCAGAACUCCGCAGUUAAGCGCGCUUGGGCUAGAGUAGUGCUGGGAUGGGUGACUUCCCGCGAAAUCCUAGUGUUGCACCUU
rfam:Picea glauca, whole genome shotgun sequence.